rnacentral:rRNA from 1 species
AAUGAACGCUGGCGGCAUGCCUAACACAUGCAAGUCGAACGAAGGCUUCGGCCUUAGUGGCGCACGGGUGCGUAACGCGUGGGAAUCUGCCCUUGGGUUCGGAAUAACAGUUAGAAAUGACUGCUAAUACCGGAUGAUGUCGUAAGACCAAAGAUUUAUCGCCCAAGGAUGAGCCCGCGUAGGAUUAGCUAGUUGGUGGGGUAAAGGCCUACCAAGGCGACGAUCCUUAGCUGGUCUGAGAGGAUGAUCAGCCACACUGGGACUGAGACACGGCCCAGACUCCUACGGGAGGCAGCAGUGGGGAAUAUUGGACAAUGGGCGAAAGCCUGAUCCAGCAAUGCCGCGUGAGUGAUGAAGGCCUUAGGGUUGUAAAGCUCUUUUACCUGGGAUGAUAAUGACAGUACCGGGAGAAUAAGCUCCGGCUAACUUCGUG